rnacentral:rRNA from 1 species
CCUACGGGUGGCAGCAGUGAGGAAUAUUGGUCAAUGGGCGAGAGCCUGAACCAGCCAAGUCGCGUGAGGGAGUACUGCCCUAUGGGUUGUAAACCUCUUUUGUCGGGGAGCAAAAGCCGGACGUGUCCGGCUGUGAGAGUACCCGAAGAAAAAGCAUCGGCUAACUCCGUGCCAGCAGCCGCGGUAAUACGGAGGAUGCGAGCGUUAGCCGGAUUUAUUGGGUUUAAAGGGUGCGCAGGCGGAUUUUUAAGUCAGCGGUAAAAUCGUGGGGCUCAACCCCAUCCAGCCGUUGAAACUGGGGAUCUAGAGUGUGCGAGAGGUAUGCGGAAUGCGUGGUGUAGCGGUGAAAUGCAUAGAUAUCACGCAGAACCCCGAUUGCGAAGGCAGCAUACCGGUGCACAACUGACGCUCAGGCACGAAAGCGUGGGUAUCGAACAGGAUUAGAUACCCUAGUAGUC